rnacentral:rRNA from 1 species
UGCCCCAGUAACGGCGAGUGAAGCGGCAACAGCUCAAAUUUGAAAUCUGGCCUUCGGGUCCGAGUUGUAAUUUGCAGAGGAUGCUUUUGGUGAGGUGCCUUCCGAGUUCCCUGGAACGGGACGCCAUAGAGGGUGAGAGCCCCGUCUGGUCGGACACCAAUCCUUUGUAAAGCUCCUUCGACGAGUCGAGUAGUUUGGGAAUGCUGCUCUAAAUGGGAGGUAUAUGUCUUCUAAAGCUAAAUACCGGCCAGAGACCGAUAGCGCACAAGUAGAGUGAUCGAAAGAUGAAAAGCACUUUGAAAAGAGAGUUAAACAGUACGUGAAAUUGUUGAAAGGGAAGCGCUCAUGACCAGACUUGGGCUUGGUUGAUCAACUUGGGUUCUCCCGGGUGCACUCUUCCUCGUCCAGGCCAGCAUCAGUUCGCUGCGGGGGAUAAAGGUUUCGGGAAUGUGGCUCCCUCGGGAGUGUUAUAGCCCGUUGCGUAAUACCCUGCGGUGGACUGAGGUCCGCGCAUCUGCAAGGAUGCUGGCGUAAUGGUCAUCAGCGACCCGUCUUGAAACACGGACCAAGGAGUCGUCUUCGUAUGCGAGUGUUCGGGUGUUAAACCCCUACGCGGAAUGAAAGUGAACGCAGGUGAGAGCUUCGGCGCAUCAUCGACCGAUCCUGAUGUUCUCGGAUGGAUUUGAGUAA